rnacentral:misc_RNA from 1 species
UGGCAGCGCUGUGACAAAGAAAGACCUCUUCUAUCUCUUCCGAAGUCACGACACUCACUGAUUUUUGGCUUAUUUUCCACUAAAGUCCUCGUGUAGCGACGAUAUCACAGCGCCGACUGAGGCAGUGGAGUGGUGCCCUUCAGUGAACAUGGGUGUGUCCAGGGGUGAGUGCAGCGGGCGGGGAGGGACAUGAGGUCGUCAGUGAGUGUGAUCCUGUCCACCCCUCCACCCGUCACCACCAUGAGUUAUCCAGACUACACCACCAGCCCCCACCACCACCAGACCCUGCUGGUGCUCGUCAGACAAGUGGGAUCCCAAUUAAAGAGCCGCUCGUUCCAUAAACUGUACGAGCGAAUCAGCAGAGUCGGCCACGUCAAGGUGAACGACUCUAAUGGGUCCCAGCGGCCAGUGUGGGUCACCUACCGCCGGGACUACCCCAUUGAGAACAACGACUGGGGCGACUUCCAGACACACCGCAGAGUCCUGGGUAUCAUCACCAUAGGUCAGGUGGGUAGCCAGAGUGACCUGAAUGAUAUCUGCAAGCAGCAUGAGAGCCUCAAGGUCAAGUAUUCCUCCACGCUGUAUGACUCACGCUGCAUCAUCUUGGGACUCAACCCAGAUGGCACCAUGUAUGAAGCGGCCUCCCAGGGGCCUUCCCGCAGCACCUCUCCAGACCCAAGCGGCACGCCAGACCCCGGAGGCGCCCCACAGACACCCGUCCCGGCCAUCAACGGCCAUGCUCACGUCAAGAAGGUGUCCGCCGGCAGCACGGACCGGGACAGCGGUGUGUACGAAACGGUCGGUGGGGAGGAGAAGCCUACCGACUCAGACAGCCACUCUGAAGGUGCAGCCGACCUGAAGAUUGACACCAAUCAUGUCAAUGGGUCAGACUCCGGCAGUGAGAGCACCAGUGAGGCUGGCUGCUGCGAGGAGAACAAGGCGGACUCCCCGCGAGAUUCUGCUGUGGAAUCCAUGCUGGACACAAGCCACUCCUCCAUCAACUCCUCAGCCUCCCAGGCAUCCAAAGUGUCCCUCCACCCACCCUCUAAUUUCAAGACCCGGGCGCUGUUCUACCCGACUGGAGAGCAUGCGGUGAACAUUGAGAGUCAGCUGCAGGAGUUUGUGAGUUCCCUGUUCUGGGUGUUGGAGUCCAAGCGCCUGGACAAGAGUCAGGAGAAGCUGGAGCGCCCACCGCUGCUCUGUGCUCCCUUUGAACGCAAGGACUUCAUUGGACUGGACAUGGACUCGCGCACCAACAAAAAGCGGUGCGCAGGUCGGCUCAGGAAGCAGCUGGCAGACCUCACCCUCCAGGCAGGCCUGCCCGUGGAGGCCAUUGUUCAGUACAGUCAUGCUGCUGACACACUGCGCCACUGUAAUGACUGGCUCUGGCUCGCAGCGUGCUUUGAGGGGCUGUGUGCAGCGUCGGUAGUGAUGCUGUACCCAAACCUGCGACGCAGUGUGGGGCUGCAGCGCUACUCUAGUCUAGGAGUUGGGGGCCACCAGGGUGGGGCGGGUGGUGUGCUCAGCAGGAGUCGCAAUGGUUCCAUCAACACCAACUCUCUGCCCACCGGUCUGGAGCCCACCAUCAUCAAGCAGACCAGCAAGCACUGCCUCUCCCCGGAUGACAUUGUGGAGAAGUACCGAGAGGCCAUUGUCCACUAUAGCAAGUACCGCAAUGCUGGUGUGGUGGAGACCGAGGCCAGCAUCAAAGCAGUCCAUGUCCUCAUUGAGCAGAGGAGAUACCUCAUGGCAGCAGAGUUCCUCUCCAAUGUGGUGUUCAUCAACCUCCAGCUCUCUGAUGAGGAGAAGAUUGCCCGCUUCAGUGCCCUGGCAGACCUGUACCAUCAAGUGGGAUUCCAGCGCAAAGCUUCCUUCUUCCGGCGUGUGGCAGCCAUGCGGUGUGUGGCGCCCCAGAACCAGCAGCCUGACUGGGGUCAGUGUUACCGCCUGCUGCUGCAGACCCUUGAUGGCCACAAGGUCUGUCUGGACCCUCUGGAGUUCAGGAAAGAUGGAAGCCAAGGAUGGCCAUCCCUGCAGAUUCAGAUCCUACAGGAGCUGGUGGGCACAUCACGAAGGAUGGGCCAGAAUGCCCUCUGCACACGUCACCAGGCCUUCCUAAUGAGUGCCAUGCUGCCGCACCUCAAGGAUGCAGAGCGCCAGGAGACGGCUCUCAUGCUGGAAUCCCUGAGUGCCCGCAGUGGCAGCGGUCCGGCCCCACUUGUGGUGCAGGAGACUGGCAUCAUCAUUCCUCCUGUUAACUUCCUCAACAUCCCCACAUGCAGGCGGGUGCGCAUCAUCUCUCCAGCAGGAGGCCGGAAAGCUGAGAAAAAGUCAUCACUGAUACCUGAAGAUGACAAUGGACCCUUCAUCUUCUCACCCUUCUCGUCCCUCUCCAAUAACAAUGAGAGGAAAUCUCAGGGAAAAGUCGAUUUUGACUGGGUGGAAGGUGAUGUCUGUGAAGUUUGUCUAGAGCUGGAGAACCCUAUGCCUUUUGAACUCAAAAUCACAACCAUGAUGCUCAUCACAGAAGAGGUUCAGUUUGAGUCCUGGACCUCCACCAUUGUGCUGAAGAAUGAGCGUGGGCUGCAGUCCAUCACCCUGAGAGGGAGGCCACAGGGGUCUGGGCAGCUGCAGAUCACUGGCUACUCCUCCACAGUGAUGGGGGUCACCAGUAACUGCCGCUUCAAGUUCCUGCCUCACCUGCGGACGCCACAGUACACCAUCAAUGUGGUGCCUGCCCUACCCAUGAUACAGAUCCUGUCCGGCAACAGCAGCACAGGCAGUCUUGGUGUGGAGCAAGCUGUGGGUGAGGAGUGUGGCAGCCUCCACCUGUCCCUGUCUGCCGGGGAGACUCACGAAUGCUCGGUGGUGCUCCACAACGUCUCCUCUCAACCUGUGGAGGAACUCACCAUCAGCCUGGAGUCAAAGAUGGACAAGGACACGCUGCACCAGGUGUUUCAGUACAGCCGAGAGAACCUCCAGGCCCAGCUGCCCAUCCCCCCUGGUGGCCGUGCCUCCCUUACCCUCUACGUGUAUGCUGCCUGUGACUUCCUUGCGCCAGGCAGGCUUGACGAGUCCUUGGAAACGACCAGCCUGCUCUCAGGCAGUGAACCACCAUCCCUGGUGUCUGGCGGGCCUCCCUCCCUUCCCUCAAGACAGUCGGUGGCCACCUCCAGCACCCGUGCCGCUCCUCGUGCCCGCCGCGCUGACUCCUCCGCCUCGCUGCUGUCCUCUCGCUCUGGCUCCAGCAUGAGGUCUGGCUCCUCCUCCUCCACCCAGGCAGCCACCUCCAGCAUGAGGACCCGCACCACGGCACCCACCCCAGGCUGCAGCAACAGGACUCUGGAGGCCAACCUGCUGGUGAAGUACUCGGGGGGGGCUGGGAUGAGUGCCGAGUACUGCCGCAGCACACAGGUGGCAGUGAGUGUGGAGGUGACACCAUCCCUGCAGGUGACGCGCUGGGAUGUGCUGCCGGCAGAACUGCCCCACCAGUGCUACGUGGUGCUGGACCUGCUCAACUGUGCCACCCAUGAGAUGGACCUCCAUUACACUCCCACCAAACACAUUCUCAUUGAGGCGGGGGAUUCCUGCCGAGUGCCUGUGCCUGUCGACCGCUGCCCCCUGGCCACCCUCACUGAGGAUGGUCGAGAGAGUGAGAGUGGAUGGGGUUGGUCCGAGGUGCUGGGUGGCCAUGUAGCCUCCUUAGUAGAGCUGCGCUGGACUCUCGGCCCCAAUGACACCCCUGGACGUGCCUCCCUGACUGGCAUAACCUUCCCUCCCUCCACUCAUGACCUCAUCACCAUGGCUCCCAUACACUGGGAGGUGCAGGUUGAUGGGCAAGAGGUUGUAGGUGGGACAGAGAAUAGUGGUGUGGUGGGUCGGCCGCUGCAGCUUGGCGUGGGCAUCACCAACACCAGUGGGGCGCCUCUACCACCCCUCAGCCUGCGCAUCACAGCCUUCCAGGACCACCAGAAUGGCCACCUCAACUACCGCCUGGAUGCCAAGAUGACCACCAUUGGGGCCACCAAGCUCACCACCCCACAGCUGAAAGAAGGCGAGGAGUUCCGGCAUUGCUGUGGACUGGUGUUCUUCACGGCAGGUGUGUUCAAGGUUGAGGUGACUUGUUCCCCGGCAGCAGUGGCAGCGCAGACCUCCUUCUAUGAGAACAUCACACCAGCCCACCAACAUGCCUGGAAGUUUGCCCCACCCCUGGAGAUCACAGUGACUGAUGCCUGAAGUGGAGGAGGUUCCUGUCCACAUACUGACCUGAAGGAGGUGAAGAGGCAUGCUGGAAGUGCUGACUUUAACCAUUGGCAGUGGAGGGCAGACCUGUCCGUGUGUGAGGGUUGUGUUUGUUCUGCCCCGAGUACCUGGCUGCUGCAUCAGGCCAACAAUUGGAGCACAGUGAGUGAAGUGAGUGAAGCACCUCCGUGAGUGAAGGUUGCAGGUAACAAAGCUCAGAAACUUUGCCUUGAUUCAUGUCAUUCUCAAAAAGGGGUGUGAAAUUCUAUGACAAAAUACUGUAUAUGAAUUGCAUUAAUACAACCAAAGUACCAUAGAGUGAUAUGUAUAUUAAGCACAGUUUAUAUAGUUAUUCUAAGGUGCCCUCAUCAUGUACUGAUUGAUAUGUACAACAGCACAAUAUUUGUGCAUUUUGAAUUUUGUGAUAUGUAUAUUUGAGUGUAUGAUAAUGUAAAAAUUGAAUGUAUACUACUCCUGCUAGUUGCUGUUUAGUUGUUGUUGGCUUCAUUUUGCAAUACUACUUUUUUAAAGGGACAAAUUCUUCUGUAUUCCUAAAAACAGUUUAAUGGUUGAGACAUGAGUGUGCUCUUCUACCUUUUUUCCUCCUCCUCUACAGGAACACCUAAAUACUCAAACCAUUGUUUUAAUCUCAGCAAGGGGUCCUGCACCACUACCUCUGUAACACUCAGCUCUUGAUGGAAAGCUGACCUAUGAAGUGUCUGUCUUUGCAGUUUACCUGAGAAGUGUCUGUUUCUUACCAAUACAGACUCUGUGCCUAUGAUGAACAAAAAAAGCAGAUCCUUUAUAGUAUCAAAAGUUACAACAAAGCCAUGAGUCAUGACUGCCUUGCUCUUCCCUACCAAAGCAGCGGGCGUGUACUUGAUGCUCACCUCACCAGCCCAGCCCAGCCCAGACCUGAGGGUGCUAUGGGAUGUGCUGUAGUAGUCUGUUAGCUCCCAUGGGGCAACACAGCCACUGCUCCCUUCACCACACUGGCUGACAUACAAGGAACUCUGGGUGCUGGAAUAUUGCUGUUUGUCUGUCAACUCAUUACUUUGGUUGUAAGAGACAUCUGUUUGUUCCUUUGGACACACCAAGUCUUCUGCUUUGAGACAUUAUGACAAACUUAUCAUUUAGGUGAUGUUAAUAAAAAUUAAGUUACA